CAGAUCCCAUAUUGAGUUUGGCCGCCAGAUCAUGAAGGUCCGCCUUGCAGCGCAGACUCUAAGUUCAUCCGUGAGCAAAGCCCUGACCCACGCACGGCUCCUGGGAUUGACCGAAUUUGAAGGAAGUGACGCAACCGCUUCGUUCAUUGCCGACGUAGAUGAUCCCAUUGGCAAAGGAUUUAAGGCACCACUUCGCAAUGGAACAAUUUCCCAGCAAGGAAAAAGGAUGCUUACAUUGUCGUCAAGAAUGAUGACACUGCGACUUCCAUCCGGGGAGCUAGCUGCUCAGCAUGGGAGACGCAUGUCAGUCAUCAGCGUGGCCUUUACGCUAAAAAGUGUUGCACAGCUGGCAGAAGCGCUGUUCCAGGCGGGCGCAUGCAGUUACAUCACUACGUACCGCC